rnacentral:rRNA from 1 species
GAGUUUGAUCGUGGCUCAGAUUGAACGCUGGCGGCAUGCCUUACACAUGCAAGUCGAACGGCAGCACGGGAGCUUGCUCCUGGUGGCGAGUGGCGAACGGGUGAGUAAUGCAUCGGAACGUAUCCUGGAGUGGGGGAUAACGUAGCGAAAGUUACGCUAAUACCGCAUAUUCUGUGAGCAGGAAAGCGGGGGACCUUCGGGCCUCGCGCUCUUGGAGCGGCCGAUGUCGGAUUAGCUAGUUGGUGAGGU